rnacentral:rRNA from 1 species
AAUAAGUAGCGAGAAUUAAGUGAGAAUCUUAAUGGCCGAAAGUCUAAGGUUUUUGGAGGAAGGUUCGUCCGCUCCAAGUAAGUCGGGAGCUAAGGUCAGGCCGAAAGGCGUAGCCGAUGCACAAACGGUUGAUAUUCCGUUACCGUCUACAAUUUAAACAAAGGGACACAUACAAAGCGUUUAACCCGGGCGAUGGUUGACCCGGGCGCAAGGGACUGAAAUUAGAGUAGGGAAGUAAAUGUAGCGUAUGGCGAGAAAAGCUUUGUGUAUAGAAGUAGACGCCCGUACCGCAAACCGACACAGGUGGACAGGAAGAGAAUUCUAAGGCCAGCGGGAGAAGGGUAGUUAAGGAACUCGGCAAAUUGACUCCGUAACUUCGGAAUAAGGAGUGCUCGAAAGAGCCGCAGAGAAUAGGCCCAGGCGACUGUUUAGCAAAAACACAGGUCUCUGCCAAAUCGAAAGAUGAAGUAUAGGGGCUGACACCUGCCCGGUGCCGGAAGGUUAAGAGGAGGAGUGCAAGCUCCGAAUUGAAGCCCCGGUAAACGGCGGCCGUAACUAUAACGGUCCUAAGGUAGCGAAAUUCCUUGUCGGGUAAGUUCCGACCCGCACGAAUGGUGUAACGAUCUGGGCACUGUCUCAACUACCCACCCGGCGAAAUUGUAGUACCGGUGAAGAUGCCGGUUACCUGCGGCAAGACGGAAAGACCCCAUGGAGCUUUACUGUAGCCUGAUAUUGGGUUUCGGAAAUCUAUGUACAGGAUAGGCGGGAGACUGGGAAGUAUGAGCGUCAGCUUAUACGGAGUCAUUGUUGGGAUACCGCCCUUAGGUUUCUGGAAUUCUAACCUGCGACCGUGAAUCCGGUCGGGGGACAUUGUCAGGUGGGCAGUUUGACUGGGGCGGUCGCCUCCGAAAAGGUAACGGAGGCGCUCAAAGGUUGGCUCAGCACGGACGGAAACCGUGCCUCAGAGUGUAAACGCAAAAGCCAGCCUAACUGCGAGGAUGACGGUCCGAGCAGUAACGAAAGUUGGAGUUAGUGAUCCGGCGGUAUGUGAAUGGAAAUGCCGUCGCUCAACGGAUAAAAGCUACCCUGGGGAUAACAGGCUGAUCUCCCCCAA